rnacentral:rRNA from 1 species
AUUGAACGCUGGCGGCAGGCCUAACACAUGGAAGUCGAGCGGAUGAGUGGAGCUUGCUCCAUGAUUCAGCGGCGGACGGGUGAGUAAUGCCUAGGAAUCUGCCUGGUAGUGGGGGAUAACGUUUCGAAAGGAACGCUAAUACCGCAUACGUCCUACGGGAGAAAGCAGGGGACCUUCGGGCCUUGCGCUAUCAGAUGGGCCUAGGUCGGAUUAGCUAGUAGGUGAGGUAAUGGCUCACCUAGGCGACGAUCCGUAACUGGUCUGAGAGGAUGAUCAGUCACACUGGAACUGAGACACGGUCCAGACUCCUACGGGAGGCAGCAGUGGGGAAUAUUGGACAAUGGGCGAAAGCCUGAUCCAGCCAUGCCGCGUGUGUGAAGAAGGUCUUCGGAUUGUAAAGCACUUUAAGUUGGGAGGAAGGGCAGUAAGUUAAUACCUUGCUGUUUUGACGUUACCAACAGAAUAAGCACCGGCUAACUUCGUGCCAGCAGCCGCGGUAACAC